GGCACUGAUGGUCCUCGUUCCUGUAACUGGUCCUGUAGACACAGCCACUGUCUUCCACUGCCCGUUCUGUGGUCUUGUGGCCUUUGGCAGGCACCUCACUGGUUGUGGUUCUUUCUGGUGAGGUAAAGUAAAGAAGAAGUUGGUAGCACAUUUGAUUAACAAGUGUCUUAAGAUUUAUUUCUAAAGUAUAAAAGUGUGAUCAGUUGUUUAUAAAUCCAAAAGUAAUAAUACAUGCUGGGUUUAAGAAUUUGAAAAUGGGAAUGAGGUGAGAGGAGGAGGAGGUCGUGCCCCUCCACCCCAGUUGGAGCCCCACGGGAGCGUUGUAGCACGUGCUGUAUAGUUGUGAUGUCUACAGUCGGAGCCCCACGGGAGCGUUGUAGCACACGCUGUAUAGUUGUGCAUUGUAGCACACGCUGUAUAGUUGUGAUGCUCACAGGCUUCCUUGCAUUUCUCUCCAGCUCUGCUAGCCACGAACACUUCAAGUCUGCACUUAACACGCUUGCUUGCCUGUGCAUGGUUGUGCACCCUCAGUAACUUAGUUCCACGUUUGGGAUGAGUUGAGUUCCCUGACGUAGAAUUGCUGGGUUGAGGGUUUUUUAUAAUAAAAAUAUUGGUCUUAUUUUGGGGGCUGAAGGUUUUAAAAGCUUAAUACAUACUUCUAGAUUGCUUUUCAAAACGACAGAAACCAGCACGUGAUAAGUAGGUCUUACUUGAAAUAAAGACUUGUCUGAUCUCGUGGCAACUUUUAACUGGUCUUUUAAUAUUAUAAAUAUUGAAAUUAUUUUAAUGUUUCUUAGCACUGUUUCUGUUAUAAAUGAGACUUCAUUUUUAGGGUAAUUUGUGAUUUUAGUGUUUGAAAUUAUACGAGUUAAAAUUCAGUGAAUACCUGAAUUGUGGAAAAUUAUAUUUAAGCUACAAAAUGUCAGUAGAGAAAUAAACAAGAUAAAGAUUUUUUUCAUACAAGAAAAUGGAACGGAAAAGCAUUGGCCUUCUCAUAACAUACUACUCAACCAGCUUUUGAGGUAGCUUCUGUAGAUGAUGAUAUUAUAAUUAUGAAUGUCAUUGUCAUAAUUUAGCUUAGAAUGCAAACCAGUUAAAAUCACUUGGUUAAUACUGUUAUCACUGAGACACGGGUUCAAGAUGCAUCUAAAAGUUCAGUGCCUUGUGGACAACUUUUAAGGGUUUAGUUGCCAUGGAUUUAAAGAAAUUGUAACUAAACCAAUGUUUUAGCAUUGAUAAAUGGGAAAUUGCGGAAGGAUACAAACGUUGUAGAGUUUAACUCUACAACUUGGCUUAGGGACUCAGGUAUGGACAGUGAGAAUAACUUGGUUUAGGGACUCAGUUAUGGACAGUGAGACUGGCCACGUGAGUGCCUUUCUCACUGUCACACUCUUACCCAGGUUGGAGUGCAGUGGCUGUCGACAGGUGUGAUCAUAGCUCCCGCAGCCUUGAAUUCCUGGGCUCAAGCAGUCCUGCCUCAGCCUCCCAAGGAGCUGGGACUAAAGAUGUGUGCCACCACACCUGGCUAAUUUUUAAAUUUAUUGUAGAGAAGGGGUCUUGCUAUGUUGCCCAGGUUGGUCUUGAACCCCUGAUCUCCAGGGAUCUCUCCUGCCUUGGCCUCCUGAGGAGCUGGAACUACAGAUAUAUGCUAAUGUCCUCAAUUUAUGGAAAUGCAGAAAUGCCUUUUUUUUUUUUGAGAUGGACUUACGUUCUGCUGCCCAGGCUGGAGUGCUGUGGCGUGAUCUUAGCUCACUGUAUCCUCCACCUCCAGGAUUCAAGCAAUUUUCGUGCCUCAGCCUCCUGGGUAGCUGAGACUACAGAUGCCCACCACCACUCCUGGCUAACUUUGUAUUUUUAGUAGAGACAGGGUUUUACCGUGUUGGCCAGGCUGGUCUCAAAUUCCUGAACUCAAGUGAUCUUCCCGCCUCGGCCUCCCAAGGUACUGGAAUUAUAGCUGUGAGCCACUGCACCCUCCCGGAAAUGCUUUUUAACGGUCACCUCCUAGGGGAGAUGAAGAGAGUUACCGCAUAAUCAGUUUUAACUGUAUUUGUAAUGUUUGUUUCUUUACCUGGGAGGAUAUAUUGUAGAUAUGUCAGAUAGAAUACUUAACUGACACAAUGGUGUGCAGGCUAUGGCUGCAAAGUAGAAAGUUUCAAAAUAGAAUGCUUGGAUUUUUAUUUGAAUUGGAUGAAGUUUUUGUGUCCUAGAGAAAUUCACAAAACGUUCCUAGUUUUAGAUAAAAGGUUAUGAUUUAAUAUCUUUGCUUUUGUUCUUUCUUGUCUUUGAAUAGAACAGUGGGGGACGGUAAGGUUUGUUUGCAAAGUACCUAUGACCAUCUUACAUUAAUUUUAUGGGCGGGGGGCGUUGACUGUGGAAUGUGGGCAGUAACUUGCACAGUCAGUAACCGUUGGAGUAACUUCUUGUUGGCAUCCCCAUUCUGGCACUCCUCCUCUAGGUCUCUACCUCACAUGCUGGCUUGUGGGCGGAGGGGCAGGUUGGUGCGUGGGGUGUCCGGGCACUGGCUAUGCAUGCCUUCUUACUCUUCUGUCUCUUGGCCACCUUUUCCAAAAAGUCACCAGUGACCAAUUCUCCCAAUGUUUCUUUCUUUGGGACUCAAUGUCUUGGGCUUGGCAUUGGGUAAAGCCGACUGGCCAGUUUCAUUCUGACGAGCUCUAUAGUCGUCCGGUGUGGAUCUCUGCUCUCCCUGCUCUGCAGAAGCUUCCUCAGCCUUUGCUCCUCACUAUUUACUAUUUGCGGGUCCUGGGGGUACCCAGCGUCUCAGGGUUUUGGCUGCCCACCUGUACGUCGGUCCUUUCAGACUGUGGUCAGAGUCAACCUCAGGUGCUGCUUUUCUCUAGUCACUGAAUUUUUUUUUAGUAGAGACAAAGUCUUGCUGUGUUAUCCAGCCUGGAUUCAAACUCCUGAACUCAAGGAAUCCUCCCACUCAGCCUCCAGAGUAGCUGGAUGAAGUCACUCUUGUUCAUAACCUCAGUUGCUUCAUGAAUCUCGAUUUCUGCUUGAUUUCAGUGCUUGCUGUUGUAUCCUUGUGUGCUGUGGUAUUUAUUGUUAACAUUUGUGACUCAAAUGUAUCCACUCCCUGCUUUGGUGGCUUUGGCCUGCAAGUAGGCCGCACUAAUUCUGUAGAUGGUCGUGGCUUGCCUUUGUCUUUACCUUGCAUGCGUUUAUGUCUUAAUGCAUCUAUUAGGAUUCCUUGCUUUUAUCACAGGUUUCCCGUUUUUCUGAAAAAAUUACAGUAAUUAACUCAGAACCCAGGUAAAUUAAAAAGGUUUGUAUACUUCAUGAAUUUUUAGUAAGCACUCAUUGAUUGGUAACAGCAACAGAGGAAAACAAAACAGUCAGUUCUGAUCUUGAUUUCCAGGAGCACUUUGUGUUUCCACUUGGCAGCGUGAUGCUUCCUCAUGUCGGUGAUUUUCUGUUGAGACACCUUCAAGCGUUAAUCUUACGUCUGCUUGUUAACAUUUGUUCAGAUUUGAUUUCAGCUAAUCCUUAAAAGUGUUUUGAGACAUCAAACUUAGAAUAAAAGGAAUUUCCUUUGCCGAGAUUCAUCAGGUAUUUACACUUAGCUGACGUGGCCACACCAUUCCUUCUCUGUGUGUGUUUGUGCAUGUUAGGGCAAUCCAUUUUUCUGUUUGUUUCUGAAUUGCUUUGGAGAAGGCAACUCAGACUCCAAGGAAUACAGCAGCCACCAUGUGAAGCUUUUCUCACUUUUCCAGUGGUCGUAGCAGGAACAGCGUCUUAACAGGACCUCAAAUCAGUGAUGUGAAAAGAGCUGUUUGAAGUGCAUAUUGGUGCUCCAUGAAGAAUGUGUAUAUGUGCUGUUUUUUAAUUAGGUCUGGUAAUUUAUUUGAUAUAAUGUAUUGUAGUUUUAGUUGAAAAUUAAAGUAGUUAGUAAAACUGUUGGUAGUAUUUCAGUUACUCUGUAGAUAAGCUCUUUUGUUACAACCUCUUAAGUUUUUUGUUCCUGAACAUGUUACAAACAUCUGUUUUCUCUUACUGUAGCUAUCACAUGAGGAAAAAAACUUGAAAAAAAGACUUCAUAGUGUGUGUUUAUGUUUGAUUUUAGAAGACCCUUUUGAGGACUUCUUUGGGAAUCGAAGGGGUCCCCGAGGAAGCAGAAGCCGAGGGACGGGGUCGUUUUUCUCCGCGUUCAGUGGAUUUCCAUCUUUUGGAAGUGGAUUUUCUUCUUUUGAUACAGGAUUUACUUCAUUUGGGUCACUAGGUCACGGGGGCCUCACUUCCUUCUCUUCCACGUCAUUUGGUGGUAGUGGCAUGGGCAACUUCAAAUCAAUAUCAACUUCAACUAAAAUGGUUAAUGGCAGAAAAAUCACUACAAAGAGAAUUGUCGAGAACGGUCAAGAAAGAGUAGAAGUUGAAGAAGAUGGCCAGUUAAAGUCCUUAACAAUAAAUGGUAAGGAGCAGCUGCUGCGCUUGGAUAACAAGUAAUUCAACGCACGCGCUUAACAGAAAUGUUAAACUAUAACAAGCACCAUUUGAGGAUUAACAGGAACAUUUUUUUGAAGAUUUCAAACGAACUCGACUUUCAGUAUAAUUGUACCUAAAGUAUUUAUAAACAGCUCAUCGGAGCCUCUAUUUGUCAUAGACUUUUGAGUUGAUUGUUGGGACCACAUAAUAGGACCAUUUUUUUUUGUCUUUAAAAUUGUUGUAAAUCUCUGUAUGCACUUUGCUUUUUUAUUAAACGUACUCCAAGGUGAGUCUUGACUCUUUAGUGUAGGACAAGAUUGUACACUAACACCAGCAUGGACCUGCUUUUCAUUGUGUCUGAAAUGUGAGCCACGUAGUGUCGGCCUGCUGUGAAGUUAACAUUGCCAGGACGAUUCUUCUACAGAAAUAAUUUCAAUUUUUUUCAGUAUUUAGUAGUGAAAGAUAUUAAUGCAUUAAUGGUAAUACAUUUCUGGUUUAAUAUAAAUUAAGGAUGUUUUCUAGUUGUGCAUGAAUGCUGGCAACUUAGUAAGUUUUGACAAUUGUUUAAAUAUGUAAUGUUAAGCUUAGGUUUAAAAAAGUAAAGCUGGUAAACCGGGUCUUUGUCAUUUGCUUAAAAAAAAAAAAAAAGAAAAUAAAUGCGAAUGUGUUGGUGCAUUCUUCCUGAGUGGGA
rnacentral:sRNA from 1 species